UUGAACGCUGGCGGCAUGCUUUACACAUGCAAGUCGAACGGUAACAGGUCUUCGGAUGCUGACGAGUGGCGAACGGGUGAGUAAUACAUCGGAACGUGCCUAGUAGUGGGGGAUAACUACUCGAAAGAGUAGCUAAUACCGCAUGAGAUCUACGGAUGAAAGCAGGGGACCUUCGGGCCUUGUGCUACUAGAGCGGCUGAUGGCAGAUUAGGUAGUUGGUGGGGUAAAAGCUUACCAAGCCUGCGAUCUGUAGCUGGUCUGAGAGGACGACCAGCCACACUGGGACUGAGACACGGCCCAGACUCCUACGGGAGGCAGCAGUGGGGAAUUUUGGACAAUGGGCGAAAGCCUGAUCCAGCAAUGCCGCGUGCAGGAUGAAGGCCCUCGGGUUGUAAACUGCUUUUGUACGGAACGAAAAGCCUGGGGCUAAUAUCCCCGGGUCAUGACGGUACCGUAAGAAUAAGCACCGGCUAACUACGUGCCAGCAGCCGCGGUAAUACGUAGGGUGCAAGCGUUAAUCGGAAUUACUGGGCGUAAAGCGUGCGCAGGCGGUUUUGUAAGACAGUGGUGAAAUCCCCGGGCUCAACCUGGGAACUGCCAUUGUGACUGCAAGGCUAGAGUGCGGCAGAGGGGGAUGGAAUUCCGCGUGUAGCAGUGAAAUGCGUAGAUAUGCGGAGGAACACCGAUGGCGAAGGC
rnacentral:rRNA from 1 species